rnacentral:rRNA from 1 species
UGCCAGCAGCCGCGGUAAUUCCAGCUCCAAUAGCGUAUAUUAAAGUUGUUGCGGUUAAAAAGCUCGUAGUUGGAUCUCAGUUCAUGCUAAGUGGUCCACCAAAUGGUGGUUACUGCUUAGCUGAGCAUUUUACAGAUUUGUCUCCUGAUGCUCUUCACCGAGUGUCAAGAGUGGUCUGUACGUUUACUUUGAAAAAAUUAGAGUGCUUAAAGCAGGCAACUCGCCCGAAUAAUCUUGCAUGGAAUAAUGGAAUAGGACCUUGGUUCUAUUUUGUUGGUCUCCGGAAUCUGAGGUAAUGAUUAAGAGGGACAGACGGGGGCAUUCGUAUUGCGCCGCUAGAGGUGAAAUUCUUGGACCGGCGCAAGACGAACUACAGCGAAAGCAUUUGCCAAGAAUGUUUUCAUUAAUCAAGAACGAAAGUUAGAGGUUCGAAGGCGAUCAGAUACCGCCCUAGUU